CGUCUAGGCGGCGGCCUAAGUCCCAUGUGAAAGCUCCCGGCUCAACUGGGAGAGGGCGUGGGAAACUGGGCAGCUAGAGACUCGGAGGGGGGUGUGGAAUUCCCGGUGGAGUGGUGGAAUGCGUUGAGAUCGGGAGGAACACCAGUAGCGAAGGCGGCACCCUGGCCGAGAUCUGACGCUGAAGCGCGACAGCGUGGGGAGCGAACG
rnacentral:rRNA from 1 species